rnacentral:misc_RNA from 1 species
AAGUCGUAACAAGGUUUCCGUAGGUGAACCUGCGGAAGGAUCAUUACCGUGCCGUGGCAGCCCCCGCAAGGUCGGCUGUUCACCGUGCCACCCGUGUCUACUUACCUGUUGCUUCGGCGGGCCUGCGGGCUCGCCCGCUGCCCGGGGACUCUGGCUCCCGGGCUCGUGCCCGCCGAAGACCAACUGAACUCUGGUUAAAGAUUGGUGUCUGAGUGAUUGAGAAAUCAGUUAAAACUUUCAACAACGGAUCUCUUGGUUCCCA